rnacentral:rRNA from 1 species
UUUUAGAAAUUAAUUUAAAGUCUAACCUGCCCACUGAAUAAUUUUAAAUGGCCGCAGUAUCCUAACUGUGCAAAGGUAGCAUAAUCAUUAGUCUUUUAAUUGAAGGCUGGAAUGAAUGGUUGGAUGAAAUAUUAACUGUUUCAUAAAAAUUUAUAAUAGAAUUUUAUUUUUUAGUCAAAAAGCUAAAAUAUUAUUAAAAGACGAGAAGACCCUAUAAAUCUUUAUAUUUAAAUAAUUUUAAUUAUUUAGAUAAAUUAAAUUAUAAUUAUUUUAAAUAUUUUAUUGGGGUGAUAUUAAAAUUUAAUAAACUUUUAAUUUAUAAUAAACAUAAAUUAAUGAAUUGUUGAUCCAUUUAUUAUGAUUAAAAAAUUAAGUUACUUUAGGGAUAACAGCGUAAUUUUUUUAGAGAGUUCAUAUUGAUAAAAA